CUACGGGACGCAGCAGUGGGGAAUAUUGGACAAUGGGGGAAACCCUGAUCCAGCAAUGCCGCGUGUGUGAAGAAGGCCUGCGGGUUGUAAAGCACUUUCGGUUGGGAGGACUGCUUCUAGCACUAAUAUUGUUGGAAGUUGACGUUACCUUCAGAAGAAGCACCGGCUAACUCCGUGCCAGCAGCCGCGGUAAUACGGAUGGGUGCAAGCGUUAAUCGGAAUUACUGGGCGUAAAGCGCGCGUAGGCGGCUAGAUCAGUCGGGUGUGAAAGCCCCGGGCUUAACCUGGGAACUGCAUCCGAUACUGUCUAGCUUGAGUACAGGAGAGGAGAGUGGAAUUCCACAUGUAGCGGUGAAAUGCGUAGAUAUGUGGAGGAACACCAAUGGCGAAGGCAGCUCUCUGGCCUGAUACUGACGCUGAGGUGUGAAAGCGUGGGGAGCAAACAGGAUUAGAUACCCUAGUAGUC
rnacentral:rRNA from 1 species